ensembl:lncRNA
UACUUUACUGGAGUAGUUUUAUUUUGAGUAACUUUUACUUUUACUUCACUACAUUCCAAAGCAUAACAUAUCGUUACUCCUUAUAUGACGUGCUGCGACACGCAGAAGCGGUGUCUGAUUCAAGAACGAACUGAGUCUUUUCAAUGAACCUUUUAAAUCGGUUCGCAAAUCGCAACAAACGAUUUGAAUUAGAAUGAUCCGAUUGCAGCUGUUCUAGAGUCGACAACUCACUGAUUCAAAUGAACCGUUUAGUGCGAGUCUACAGUGAACUGAAUUCAUAAGUAAGCACUUGUGAGCGCGCGCGCGUCUGAUGCUGUUAAAGACAUCAUUUGGAAGUGCUGCCUGGAUGGUUACAGAGAAAACUGCUGAUGGUCCAAUCAAGAAAGGAGAGCAGAUGUUGACUGACUGACUGGACAAUCAGCAAGAUCUGCUCUGUCGUGGUGGUCUUCAACCUUGGUGGUCUUCAGCUCCGCCGGUUCCAUCUUGGUGGUUCCCAACUCCCCCCACUCCACUCUGGUGGUCUUCGACUGCGCCGGUUCCACCUUGGCUUCCUGCUCUGCCUUGACAUUGAUGUAAUAAUGAAGGGUUUUAGUAAGGUGCAUCACAACUUUGAUCGACUGUGACCUGAAACUGUUUGUGUUUAUGUACUUUUGCAUAAAUAUCUGUUCUGAAUGUGAAGUCCAAUGCCUGAAGGAUUUAUUUGCUCAAAAAUAAAUAAAUAAAUAAAUAAUAAUAAAAACAGCAGGGCAUGUAUAUCAUUUAAUACAAUGACCUGGUGCAUUUGCACAAUCAAAAUCAUUAGGUCAAAUUACAAUGUAACCUACUUUAUGGCUUUCUUA